CUCCUCACUUCUACAUGUACAUACUUUUCUACAUACUUCUGUGUUCUACACGCUUUGAAAUUGAAAGCAUUUUGGCGGAUACGAGCCAAAUACCUCACGAAAAUCAAAUCACAGGCUAUCACAGCUACUUUUAUGUCCUGCUGUAUCAUUAUUUUUGAAAAUUUGAAAUUCAAACUUCUCAUCCUUUUACUUUUCUCUCUCUUAAAUCUGAGUUCGCGUUCAUUUCUUUGUACCUGCUUUGUUACUCAUUUUCGCAUGUCAUAUUUUUAUAUAUAUGAUUUAAAAGAUUUGCACCGAUUAUUUUCAAAUGUUAUGUUUACAGAUUUGUAGCUGAAGAUAAGAUAUAUCAGUUUUUGAGUGCGGAAGAUGUGACAAGAUCUCUUAGUAUUUUGAGAUGGGUGUCAUGGUCAAUCCUCCCAAACCUGGAGACAUCUCAUACGAUAGGUUUGCCAGAGAGAGGUAUCCUUGGGUCACUGAGGAAGAGAGCACAAAUAAAGACAGAUGGAUUUAACAGCUGCAGAAAUGUAGUUUGCAAUUUUACUGAAGGGUUACAAGGAAUUUACUGCAUCUAAGCACAAUGAGUCAGCAGCAAAAAAUGGUCAAAUUUGAGGAAAACUAUGAUAUAAUCUCCCAACUCCCCGUGGAUCUUCUUUCGAAGUUGGUGUCGUUGUUGCCCCUAAAGGAGGCACUCAAGACCAGUACUUUGUCGAAAAGCAGGGAGACGAUAUGGACUACUCACACUGAUAUUGUAUGUGAUAUCAGUAUUGUACUUGGCCUCUUGCGCGACGAAUCUGGAAACAUAACUUUGAAUGUCGUAAGAGAGGAGCAUAGGAAUCAAUUCAUAGAACGCGUCGGUCGCUUGAUGCAGCAGCGUUUGAUGGGGCCUAAUAUGAGAUCAAUAGUGAUCAGCUUUCCUGUCUCUCGAAAAGAUGGUCCUCAUGUUGCAAGAUGGGUGGGUGAUGCCGUGAUGAAGGGAGUUAAAACAAUCAUUCUGAAUUUACAUGGAGGUUCUGGUAUUGUUUCGUUUCCUUUUUCGAUUCUUAGGGCAACUGGUCAAGCUAGUAAAGUGAGGUAACUGGUGUUAAUUUCGUGUAGCCUUAAAUCUCUUUCGGUUAGAAAUAGUACUCUUGAUUCGCUUGUCAACCUUCAUUUGCAAAGUGCGAAUCUCACUGAUAAGCAAUUGGAUGUUAUACUUAGCAAGUGCUUUUUUCUUGAGAGUUUGGUUUUGAGGAAGUGUUGUAAGUUGGCAAGAUUUAAGCUCACUAGUCGAAACCCUAGGUUGAAAUUUUUGGAAAUCAAAUCCUGUUUAAAAUUGAAGAAUAUUCAACUUUAUGCCGAGAGUCUGGAAAUACUGGAAUUCGACGGUCUAUUAGACCACUUUUCGUGUGAUCACGUGCCGAACUUGGUUCAGCUGUUUGCAUGUGUAUCUGGAGAGAAAUUUGUACAAUUUUCAACUUAUGCACUCUCCAGGAUUGCUGUUGAUGCACCUCUACUACAGACUCUCAACCUACAAGUUCACCGGGUACUGCCCCUGCCAAAAGGAGUAUUUACAUUUAGUAACAUAAAGUAUUUGGUACUUAAUCUUAAUCCAUGUGAUAGUGAAGACGAGCUCGACUGGAUUCGCUACAUCUUGAAGGCAUUUCCUUUUUUGAGCAGACUACAAUUAGAUUUUUCACUAGUCGUCCCAAGGAACGCCGGAUCGACCAACCAGAGUCAUAGAGGACUAGCUGAAGUGAGUCAUGAGAAUCUCAGAGAACUAGAGGUGACGGGGUAUUAUGGUGGCCCAGGCCAGGUUGAGGCUGUGAAGCAUCUGGUUGAUAGGGCAUUCAAGCUUGAUCUUCUUGUAAUCAGUUCACCAGAGAAAUUGUACGUCGGUUCGAGAGAGUUCAUCCGUGUGGAUUUACCUAAUGACAACAAAUCAAGCUCAGAGAAGAUUGAAGAACUCCGUCCUGUACUUCCAAACUCCCUUCGCGUUGAUUAUUCUAACCUCUGACUUUUAUCUUUGUUUGGUAGUAUAUACCGUUUGUGAUGGAUAUUUGAGGAUUGAGGUACUUACUAAAAAUGUUAUGAUAAAUAUUUAUACUACCAUAAAAAUUUAUGGUAGUAUACACCCUUUGUGAUGGAUAUUUAGCUUUUUACAGUAAAUUACUGUCAUUUAAUUC